rnacentral:rRNA from 1 species
GACGAACGUUGGCGGCGUGCUUAACACAUGCAAGUCGAACGGAAAGGCCCUGCUUGCAGGGUGCUCGAGUGGCGAACGGGUGAGUAACACGUGGGUGAUCUGCCCUGCACUUCGGGAUAAGCUUGGGAAACUGGGUCUAAUACCGGAUAGGAGCCAUCUUUAGUGUGGUGGUUGGAAAGUUUUUUCGGUGUAGGAUGAGCUCGCGGCCUAUCAGCUUGUUGGUGGGGUAAUGGCCUACCAAGGCGGCGACGGGUAGCCGGCCUGAGAGGGUGUACGGCCACAUUGGGACUGAGAUACGGCCCAGACUCCUACGGGAGGCAGCAGUGGGGAAUAUUGCACAAUGGGCGCAAGCCUGAUGCAGCGACGCCGCGUGGGGAUGAAGGCCUUCGGGUUGUAAACUCCUUUCGCUAGGGACGAAGCUUUUUGUGACGGUACCUAGAUAAGAAGCACCGGCUAACUACGUGCCAGCAGCCGCGGUAAUACGUAGGGUGCGAGCGUUGUCCGGAAUUACUGGGCGUAAAGGGCUCGUAGGUAGUUUGUCGCGUCGUCUGUGAAAUUCUGGGGCUUAACUCCGGGCGUGCAGGCGAUACGGGCAUAACUUGAGUGCUGUAGGGGUAACUGGAAUUCCUGGUGUAGCGGUGAAAUGCGCAGAUAUCAGGAGGAACACCGAUGGCGAAGGCAGGUUACUGGGCAGUUACUGACGCUGAGGAGCGAAUGCAUGGGUAGCGAACAGGAUUAGAUACCCUGGUAGUCCAUGCCGUAAACGGUGGGCGCUAGGUGUGAGGGUCUUUCUACGACUUUCGUGCCGUAGCUAACGCAUUAAGCGCCCCGCCUGGGGAGUACGGCCGCAAGGCUAAAACUCAAAGGAAUUGACGGGGGCCCGCACAAGCGGCGGAGCAUGUGGUUUAAUUCGAAGCAACGCGAAGAACCUUACCAAAUCUUGACAUCCUCUGACCCCUCUAGAGAUAGAGUUUUCCCCUUCGGGGGACAGAGUGACAGGUGGUGCAUGGUUGUCGUCAGCUCGUGUCGUGAGAUGUUGGGUUAAGUCCCGCAACGAGCGCAACCCUUAAGCUUAGUUGCCAUCAUUAAGUUGGGCACUCUAAGUUGACUGCCGGUGACAAACCGGAGGAAGGUGGGGAUGACGUCAAAUCAUCAUGCCCCUUAUGAUUUGGGCUACACACGUGCUACAAUGGACAAUACAAAGGGCAGCGAAACCGCGAGGUCAAGCAAAUCCCAUAAAGUUGUUCUCAGUUCGGAUUGUAGUCUGCAACUCGACUAUAUGAAGCUGGAAUCGCUAGUAAUCGUAGAUCAGCAUGCUACGGUGAAUACGUUCCCGGGUCU